UGCAAACAAACAGUGCAAUCAGUGAUGC
rnacentral:piRNA from 1 species